rnacentral:rRNA from 1 species
UGGGGAAUCUUGCACAAUGGGGGAAACCCUGAUGCAGCGACGCCGCGUGAUUUAGAAGGCCUUCGGGUUGUAAAAAUCUUUUCUAUGGGAAGAAAAUGACAGUACCAUAGGAAUAAGGACCGGCUAAUUACGUGCCAGCAGCCGCGGUAAUACGUAAGGUCCGAGCGUUGUCCGGAAUCAUUGGGCGUAAAGGGUACGUAGGCGGGUAAGCAAGUUAGAAGUGAAAUCCUAUAGCUCAGCUAUAGUAAGCUUUUAAAACUGCUCAUCUUGAGGUAUGGAAGGGAAAGUGGAAUUCCUAGUGUAGCGGUGAAGUGCGCAGAUAUUAGGAGGAGUACCGGUGGCGAAGGCGACUUUCUGGCCAUAACCUGACGCUGAGGUACGAAAGCGUGGGUAGCAAACAGG